UACAGAGGGGGCGAGCGUUGUUCGGAAUUACUGGGCGUAAAGGGCGCGUAGGCGGCCCUCUAAGUCGAACGUGAAAUCCCCGGGCUCAACCCGGGAACUGCGUCCGAUACUGUAGGGCUCGAAUCCGGGAGAGGGAUGUGGAAUUCCAGGUGUAGCGGUGAAAUGCGUAGAUAUCUGGAGGAACACCGGUGGCGAAGGCGGCAUCCUGGACCGGUAUUGACGCUGAGGCGCGAAAGCCAGGGGAGCAAACGGG
rnacentral:rRNA from 1 species